UGUACCUUUGACUUCCAUAGAGUUACGGAAGGUGGGCAGCUGCCUGACUGGGCCACCCUCCAUCACACUGGGGAUGCUGGGAAUGGAUGAGAAGACUGGUGCAGGACUGGCCCGCCUGGAACAUUAUAAGGUAUCUAAUCAUACCAGGAACAGGAGAAGACUUCCUAGAAGAGGUCCCAGAAUCCAGCUACAGAGUUCAAACCAAGACUUACCCAUUCUGAAUGAUGAAAUCCACCAACGGAAGCGAAGUUUUGUUGGCGUAGCGUACAGCCCAAUGCAAGGCCUGUUCACCUUGUUCCUAUCAGAAAAAAAAGGAGCAACAUUUUGCAGAACUUUCUAUGGUAGAGGUCAACUCUGAAAAAAGAAAAUAGAAAAUUAACCCCAAAGACAUCUGAAUUACAUUACACCAAGGUGAUGUUAAAGGAUGCUUCAUACCUAUCAGCUGUGGGCUGCUGCCCUCUUAUGUUGUAAGAGAUCCAACCCUUAAUUGUCAAUUAUUUUGUCAAGAAUACCUAUGGUACAGUUGCCAUUAGCCAGAUAAAACCACGAAAAAAUAUUUUCCACACUCAUUGCAAAGUACCAGGAAACGCACAUGGGAAGUAACAACAGACAGAAUUAAUCAAAAUCCUAUGAUGGUUAUUUCCAGCAAUGGUAUAGGUCAACUAUGCCCCAAUACUUUGGAGCACCAACAUCCUUUGCUGUUUUCUUCCCAUCUUAAAUGGGAAAUCUAGUUCCUUCCUUCACACAUAAGUCUAAGAUUUAACUCCCUACCAAAAAUAUUUCAUGUUGCCUUGAUGGAGAAACACAAGGACAAGAGAGAAGGAGCAAUCAGGUCAGGACCACUUUCCUCCUUGGUUUAGUUCAGAAAAUAGGUUUAAUUCUAAAGCCAGAUUAACUGAAUACAAGUGCUAUGUUCCUAUUAUGCAUUGUACCCAGAUGAAGAAACCACAGCAUGGCUUGAUAUAACAACCUGGUUCACCCAGCAUGCUGAGUUCUCACCGGACCACAAAAUGCUCAACCUCAUUUUAGCCUAGUCUAACAUCCUGUGCAAACCCAACCUCCAAGUCAGAUAAAAAAGUGAUACGCAAGAGUGCCAAAAACAUCAGGCAAGUAUGCCAAGCUGCAAACCCAGAGGAAAAACAUGAACAAUAGAAAGCAUAAUGCCUUUUUUUUCCAGUUGCAGCAAUCCACCACCAAGGGUGUAAGUGGUAUAAACUGCUGGAGUCUUGUCUUUCCUCCUCCUUUUAAAGAAUCUAAGUUCAAAGUCUCCAUCAUUAGCGGGAGAGAGAGAAAAAGUGAUAGCUUUGAUAAUCCAACAGCCAUAUUUAAAACCCUGCCCAUGGACAUUCCAACAGUAGCAUGACAGGUAGGACUGGGUACAGAAGCUAAGGAAACCAAGGUAGGACUGGGUACAGAAGCUAAGGAAACCAAGUGCAGGAAACAAACUGCAUUGAGUUGGCAGCUGGCCAACCCAAUGGUUUAAAGCUGGCAUCAACAUCAAGGCACCCAUGGACUCCAAAGUGGCAUCUCUUACUUGUUUCUGCAUAAAAUAAAGUUUUUACAUUGUGAAAGAACCAAACUCGCAGAAGACUGUGGUCACUAUGGUGCCCAGGAACAAUAAAAUUUGCCUGGUUUCAAGAUGAAAACUUUUAUGUAGAUGAAUAAAUAAAUAAAA